rnacentral:rRNA from 1 species
UACAGAGGUCCCAAGCGUUGUUCGGAUUCACUGGGCGUAAAGGGUGCGUAGGUGGUGAGGUAAGUCGGAUGUGAAAGCUCGGAGCUCAACUCCGAAAUGGCAUUGGAAACUACCUUGCUCGAGGGUUGGAGGGGGACUGGAAUACUUGGUGUAGCAGUGAAAUGCGUAGAUAUCAAGUGGAACACCAGUGGCGAAGGCGAGUCCCUGGACAACUCCUGACCACUGAGGCACGAAAGCUAGGGAGCAAACAGG